AGUGAACGCUGGCGGUAUGCCUAACACAUGCAAGUCGAACGGCAGCACAGUAAGAGCUUUCUCUUACGGUUGGCGAGUGGCGGACGGGUGAGGAAUACAUCGGAAUCUACUUUUUCGUGGGUGAUAACGUAGGGAAACUUACGCUAAUACCGCAUACGACCUACGGGUGAAAGCAAUGGAUCUUCGGACCUUGCGCGAUUGAAUGAGCCGGUGUCGGAUUAGCUAGUUGGCGGGGUAAGGGCCCACCAAGGCGACGAUCCGUAGCCGGUCUGAGAGGAUGAUCAGCCACACUGGAACUGAGACACGGUCCAGACUCCUACGGGAGGCAGCAGUGGGGAAUCUUGGACAAUGGGCGCAAGCCUGAUCCAGCAAUACCACGUGGGUGAAGAAGGCCUUCGGGUUGUAAAGCCCUUUUGUUGGGAAAGAAAAGCAGCAGGUUAAUACCCCGCCGUUUUGACGGUACCCAAAGAAUAAGCACCGGCUAACUUCGUG
rnacentral:rRNA from 1 species